rnacentral:lncRNA from 1 species
AUGGUCAAGAAGGCUCACGAGCAGCUGCAGCAAAAUGCUGAUGAGGCCAUGAGGAUAAACCGAAAACUGACGUUUGCCAACCAAAAACAAGAGGCAACGAUUAUGUCUCUGAAAAAGGAGCUGGACGAGGUCAAUAACAAGCUUAUUAAGGUCAAGAUGACGUCAGUCCGCUAUGAGAAGACCCACAGUCAAGCAGAGGGACAGCAGCAAGUGCAGGAGCUGCAGCAGAGGCUCAUCAUGGUAAAACCCUCCAUAAAAUCAAACAUUUCAAACCCCAAACCAAAGUUGAAGACAAAAUGUGCUUCCUCUUUUUUUUCAAGGAAAAAGAAAUAAACAGAAAACUUGAGAAGGAAAAUUUAGCAGAAAGGGCAGAAAAGCAGGUAAGAAACUCAAAAAACAUAACUUUAUUCUCUUUAAGAAUUAUAGUUGAAUUUAGGAUUCAAUGGACUUUAAAGUUUCUGAGUGAAUCAUUUAAAAACCCACUCGGUUGAAAAUGGUGUUUUUGGUUUUUUUAACAUGUUCUCGUGUUGUUUUUCUGGUGAUGGAGAACAAAUAUAAAGAUAAUGAAGUCCAAAAGUGCCUUUUAUUUUAAUCGUUGAGAAUCAGGAGCAGGCAUCUGAAUCUAAACUGUACGACUAAAUAGCUCCAAUGUUGCUCUCUAUUGUUAUUGAACUGGUAAUGUUAGGUUGGGGGUGUGAGGGGCUUUAAGCUAGCGGGUGGGAGAGUAACGGGGAGGGAAAGGAAGGUGGGGUUGCUCUGCGCCAACGGGCCGCCCAAAACUCAGAGAUGAAUUUCUAAUCAUCUGCUGCCGCUCUACAGAAGGUAUGUCCUAGAAAACGGUGAAGGUUUUUGGGGAUUUAGGGUAAAAGUGGCCUCAAUAUAAACAAACAACCACUGAGAAUGUGUUUAAAAAAGCUUAAAAGAUGAGCGGAGGGGGUCUUUGAACCAAUUUCAACUAUUUUGUCUGUUCAUUUGUACAGGAGAUGCUGAGGUCUCUGCAGCGAACACAGGAGCUGCUGCUACGGCAAACACAGACAGUGAGAAGAGUAGAAAUGGAGCUACAGACACAAACGGAGAGGUUCCAGGUCAGAAGAUUUGCUCAAGGGCACCACAGUAAAGUACAGCCCCUCAAUUUUACUUUAAAACAGAAGGACAAAGGGUAACCUAAAAAGUAAAGGUCGAAUUUUUUUUUAGACUAAAUGUGUGUUUUCAGUAUUUUGUAUUUAUAAUUUACAUGUAAAUUAUAAUUGCAUAACUGUUGACACAUAAAUGUAACCUUUUAAACUACUGUACCUCAUCACUUACACUUGACUGGUGUCUCGUCCUUAUUGUUUGUUUAAAUUAUGAUUAUCUUACAUUUGAAUUCUUUAAGGGUACACAGCACUGACAUGAAUACCUUUAAAUAAUGAUUACAUAUCUACAAAAAACAAUAAAUACAUGUCUGUUGUUCAUGAAUAUGGAGUUGUAUAUCACAACAUUCACAUUUGUAACAACAGGCCUUUCCCCCCGCUGAAUGGGGGCCUGGGUGCUCCUUUGUUUACGGCCUUGCACUUUAUUGUUCUCUUUUCUGCUCGGCCUCCUUUCUCAUUUUAAUUCUCACAUUCAUUCAUUUAUUAACAUCAUUAUCAAAAUGACACAAGCCAGCUGAUUUGUAUAAGCAAGAAGUCCUCUUUCUCCCUUCCCUGUUUCAGAGCCUUUUGUUCCUGUUAAAUAAACGUAUUAAAAAAUUUAGUAUUGCAUUCAAAUCCUACGGGUAAUUAAUUUUACUGCAGGCCC